GGGGAUCUGAACAAGUCCCCUGCCACCUUCCAAUCACCUCUGAUCACGUCUCCUCAGGAGAUGCCAGGGGCUUGUCUCUGGGGUGACCGGGAGGCCGAGAACUUCCUCUGGUUCUGACAGAGCUUUCCAGAAUCCGACAGCUCCUUGAGUGUCCUGCACAGGUUGCUUUAGGCAAAUCAGUGUAGGAAGAGAUAUCUUCCCUACAAAGCCGCUGGGGCAAGGCGCAUGGCAGGGGCUGGAAAGGCAGCACCAUUUUCUGCAGCUUUGGCUGCAACCAGCCCCAAGGCCUGGUAGGUAGAAGUUUCUGGAAAAGGCCUCAUGGAGCAGGAAGCGGAUGGCCUCUGAGCAGAGCAGGUGCGGAGGCCCAUGUUGUGGUCAUCUGCACCUCGACCUCAGCCCACGGGGACCUGAUGCUGACAGCCUUUAACUCAACCCCCUGGCCCCAGUUGUCAUAGAGGGACACUCGGGAUGCAAGACUCCCAAGUCUCCCCGUGCUGUCAAGGAGAGGAGGAGCGCCCCCCCCCCCCUGAACUGAGUCAGGGCAUGAGGACACAGCUACCCAGACGGGAGGCUCCCGCAGCUCGGCCUCACUUCCUGCCACCAGAGGGCUGUUUCAAAGCGAGGUGUGUCAGGAAACCCACUGGCCCCCAGCACAGCGAGAGCCUCACUCUAGUUGCCUGCCCUGCCCAUCACGAACGCCACCCCCUGGGCCUCGGUUACCUCCUCCCGUCAUCGGAGCAGCCCAGGGUGGGAACUGCUCUUACCCUCUCCCCUCCAGGGAGGAACUCAAACGGAGAGAUUGAGCUACCACAAGAUGGGCCUGAUCCAGUGUGAUGUUCAGACCUCAGCAGCCACAUUCAAAACAUGCUUUUGUUUUAAACACGUUGAC
rnacentral:lncRNA from 1 species